CCUACGGGAGGCAGCAGUGGGGGAUAUUGCACAAUGGGGGGAACCCUGAUGCAGCGACGCCGCGUGGGUGAAGAAGCGCCUCGGCGCGUAAAGCCCUGUCAGCAGGGAAGAAAAUGACGGUACCUGAAGAAGAAGCCCCGGCUAACUACGUGCCAGCAGCCGCGGUAAUACGUAGGGGGCAAGCGUUAUCCGGAUUUACUGGGUGUAAAGGGGGCGCAGACGGCGAUGCAAGCCAGGAGUGAAAUCCAUGGGCUUAACCCAUGAACUGCUAUUGAAACUGUCGAGCUUGAGUGAAGUAGAGGUAGGCGGAAUUCCCGGUGUAGCGGUGAAAUGCGUAGAGAUCGGGAGGAACACCAGUGGCGAAGGCGGCCUACUGGGCUUUAACUGACGCUGAGGCACGAAAGCGUGGGUAGCAAACAGGAUUAGAUACCCUGGUAGUC
rnacentral:rRNA from 1 species